UCCCUGAUGGCUCAGAUGGUAAAGCGUCUGCCUGCAAUGCGGGAGACCCGGGUUUGAUUCCUGGAUAGGGAA
rnacentral:tRNA from 1 species